rnacentral:sRNA from 1 species
AAAAUGGAGCGCUAGGGUUCCGGCUGCCGAUACCGACAAUCAGAGGCAGCGACUGGUCCGAGAGCACUCGACCUUUCAGUGAAAGGUUACACGGCGGGACAAAAGCCCGGGAGGA